AAUUUUGGACAAUGGGGGAAACCCUGAUCCAGCCAUCCCGCGUGUAUGAUGAAGGCCUNCGGGUUNUNAAGUACUUUUGGCUGAGNAAAAAAGGUAUCUCCUAAUACGAGAUACUGCUGACGGUAUCUGAAGAAUAAGAACCGGCUAACUACGUGCCAGCAGCUGCGGUAAUACGAAGGGUGCAAGCGUUAAUCGUAAUUACUGGGCGUAAAGCGUGUGUAGGCGGUUCGGAAAGAAAGAUGUGAAAUCCCAGGGCUCAACCUUGGAACUGUAUUUUUAACUGCCGUGCUAGAGUAUGUCAGAGGGGGGUAGAAUACCACGUGUAGCAGUGAAAUGCGUAGAUAUGUGGAGGAAUACCGAUGGCGAAGGCAGCCCCCUGGGAUAAUACUGACGCUCAGACACGAAAGCGUGGGGAGCAAACAG
rnacentral:rRNA from 1 species